AAGAUAAUAGUUAAUCAUAACAUUUAAAUUGCAUUUAAAAAGUGUUGAAACCCAACUUAUCUUA
rnacentral:tRNA from 1 species